UGAUGUGGUUUAAUUCGAUGCAACGACGAAAACCUUACCCACCUUUGACAUGGCAGGAAUCCUGAAGAGAUUGGGAGUGCUCGAAAGAGAACCUGCACACAGGUGCUGCAUGGCUGUCGUCAGCUCGUGUCGUGAGAUGUUGGGUUAAGUCCCGCAACGAGCGCAACCCUUGCCAUUAGUUGCUACGAAAGGGCACUCUAAUGGGACUGCCGGUGACAAACCGGAGGAAGGUGGGGAUGACGUCAAGUCCUCAUGGCCCUUAUAGGUGGGGCUACACACGUCAUACAAUGGCCGGUACAGAGGGUAGCCAACCCGCGAGGGGGAGCCAAUCCCACAAAGCCGGUCGUAGUCCGGAUCGCAGUCUGCAACUCGACUGCGUGAAGUCGGAAUCGCUAGUAAUCGCGGAUCAGCAUGUCGCGGUGAAUACGUUCCCGGGUCUU
rnacentral:rRNA from 1 species